rnacentral:rRNA from 1 species
GACGAACGCUGGCGGCGUGCUUAACACAUGCAGGUCGAACGGAAAGGCCCUGCUUUUGUGGGGUGCUCGAGUGGCGAACGGGUGAGUAACACGUGAGUAACCUGCCCUUGACUUUGGGAUAACUUCAGGAAACUGGGGCUAAUACCGGAUAGGAGCUCCUGCUGCAUGGUGGGGGUUGGAAAGUUUCGGUGGUUGGGGAUGGACUCGCGGCUUAUCAGCUUGUUGGUGGGGUAGUGGCUUACCAAGGCUUUGACGGGUAGCCGGCCUGAGAGGGUGACCGGCCACAUUGGGACUGAGAUACGGCCCAGACUCCUACGGGAGGCAGCAGUGGGGAAUAUUGCACAAUGGGCGGAAGCCUGAUGCAGCAACGCAGCGUGCGGGAUGACGGCCUUCGGGUUGUAAACCGCUUUCGCCUGUGACGAAGCGUGAGUGACGGUAAUGGGUAAAGAAGCACCGGCUAACUACGUG